AAAAUUCUGCCUUUUGUAAACAAAGUCUAGCUGUCACUGGACGGAGAAGCCAUGUCUCUGAGUCCAGAGACAAAGCCGCGCUCUUUGACAAGAUUUGUUUCACUGGAGACUCAAUGAUAACAAAAAAGAAGUAAACGCGGGUCAUGCUGUGACACAAGAUACCGGGUGGGCUUUCCUCUUUGAGGCCUGCGGACCCCGCCUUGUCCCGGCCUCCACUUCUGUAUCCCCCUCAUAGGCAUUAUCUCAGCACUUGCCAAGCAGAGAUACCCAUCCCUCCCUCAAAUAACCGGCAUUGGAAAUGACCCUCGGAGGAGACCAAGUCCACUUCAGAGCCAUGGUCUUGGAGCAUUGGAAUGAAACCAAACGUGACAUAGUGACCUUGGUUUGCACAGUGAAUGGGCACCACACCUCUGGCCGGCCUCAUUGCCACCUUAAGAACUGU